AAAAAAAAAAAAACUCCCGCCCCUGCACCGGAAAAUUCGGUCGGACUUGCUGAAAGUGUUUUUCCAAAGAGCUAAAGAGACAUUGUUGCGUUUGACUUUUGCCCAAGUUGGACAGGUGGCAUGCUGGUGUUCAUUUCAUUCCCCUUACCUGGAGAAAAUGACUUUCAAAUGCACUGGAUUACUUCCCUAAUAAGAACUUGGUCCUAACUACAUUAAUAAAUGAAGUCUUUGUAUUUGAUCCUUGCUUUCAUUAGUAUAUUUCUUUCAUUGAUGACUGCUAUACAAAUUUAAAGAGUUGCAGCAAUAGUGUUGUGUUGUUAUUCACUUAGUGCUUUUGCAACAUGAAUUUUUUAAAUUGUGAUACAACUACCUUUGAGGAAUCAGAAGAAACCUCAUGCUGUAAAUGGUAGCUUGGAACUUUCAAUAUGUCUAUAUCUUUGUUCUGCUUAAUCUGAUAUCUAUGGUAUCAUAUAUUCUCUUAUCCUGGACUAGGGCAUAAACUUCAUGUCAAUGGUUUGUAAUUUUCUUAACCUGCAGAAGCUCAGCUAUCUUCAUGCUUACACUUUUGACAGAGAUUCCCAGUUUUUAUGCAUUGUGAAAUUGGUGAAGAUCUAGGGAUGUUUGAUAUUGGGAAUUUCAAGAGUGCAUGUUUACUCCUACAUGGCACACAUAACUUGACAAAAAGGCUGAUCACUUUUAGAAGAAAUUUUGGAUUACAAAAGAACAAGGUUGGCACACUGUUGCCUGUAUGCGUCAAGAAUUUAAAUGAAUCCUGCAUACAGUUGACAGUAGAAUAGCAAGAUUAACUUGAGUAGGUUUACAUGCUCAGGCUGAGGAACAAGCACUAUGGUAAGAUUAAUUUUUUUGAUAUAAGUUUUGAUGAUUACUCUCCGGAGGAGAAUCAAGGCCUAGACUACAAAACUGAAUGGUUUAGACAGUGCUGAAAUUUUCAGUGGACACAAUUUGCCAGUUUAAGAGGGUUUGGCUAGAGCUGUAAGACACAAGUUGUUUGUUGUAUUCUGGAAAAAAAAAAUUUUAAAAAAAAUAAACUGAGAAGAAAAAUUGUUAUUAUGGGUGUGGUUAGAACUUGGAAUUCUACUUUCCUAUCAACAUGCCCCUGCCCCCCCAAAAAAAACUAUGUAUUUUAUAUAUUUGCAGUAUAGAUAUAUCUUGGUAUAGGGAAAAUUUUUUAGUUUUUGACACGCAUAUAUAGUUGAUUAGUUAUUUGUCUUGUUGCUGACCAAAUUCAGAUGUGCUACGCAAUACCAUUACAGCUUAAGGGACAUAGUUGCUUAAAAUUUUGCCCAAGUUGGGCAGGUGGAAUGUUGGUGUUCAUUUCAUUCCCCUUACCUGGAGAAGCUGACUAUCAAAUGCACUGGAUUACUUCCCUAAUAAGAACUUGGUCCUAACUACAUCAAUAAAUGAAGUCUUUGUAUUUGAUCCUUGCUUUCAUUAGUAUAUUUCUUUCAUUGAUGACUGCUAUACAAAUUUACAGAGUUGCAGCAAUAGUGUUGUGUUGUUAUUCACUUAGUGCUUUUGUGACAUGAAGUUUUUAAAGUGUGAUACAACUACCUUUGAGGAAUCAGAAGAAACCUCAUGCUGUAAAUGGUAGCUUGGAAGUUUCAAUAUGUCUCUAUCUUUGUUCUGCUUAAUCUGAUAUCUAUGGUAUCAUAUAUUCUCUUAUCCUAGACUAGGGCAUAAAUGUCAAUGGUUUGUAAUUUUCUUAACUUGCAGAAGAUCGGCUAUCUUCAUGCUUACACUUUUGACAAAGAUUUCCCAGCUUUUAUACAUUGUGAAAUUGGUGAAGACCUAGGGAGGUUUGAUAUUCGGAAUUCCAAGAGUGCAUAUUUGCUCCUACAUGACACACAUAACUUGACAAAAAGGUUAUGGGAAGGAUUCGCUCAAUCCUCUGAUGGAACUAUAGUCAUUGAUGUUGAAUUACGCCCCAUUUCCUACCCUUUUUUUCCCUGUAAUUGUACAUUAACUGUUCUAGCACUUCUCAUUUUGUAUUUUAAUUUUCUUUCCAAAUUUCCAUCAAGUCAAAGUUCACUAUCUUGUAUUAAUCAAGUCUAAUUUCUUUUUGUUGAGAGAAUUAUCAAGUCUCAUUUCCA